CUUUCAAUCCCUUAUGGGAUUCUUC
rnacentral:other from 18 species